rnacentral:lncRNA from 1 species
GGCCACAUAGAUCGGCAUGUAGGUGAGGAUGCCCUGGGCUUCUCUCCCUGGGGCAGCCCUAAUUCAUACCAUAAAAAAAUCCACCGGGUCAUAUAGUUUGGCACGUAGGCCAGGUCACCUUGGGCUUCUCUAGCUGGGGCAGCCUUAAUCCACAUCAUUCUCCACUGCCGAGCUCUGAACCAUCGCUGGCCACCUCCACCCCAAACAAGCAGGAAAACAACCACAAAUGUGUCACAGAGCAUGGAAGUGCCACCAGAGUACUAAGAGAAUCCAGCAUGUCUCACAGGGGCACCUACUGACCCGGCACAGAGCAGGAGGCGGCACUGACUCGUCCCAGAGGCACACGGUGAGGGGCCACAUGGGUACCUUGUCAGCAUCGUGCUUCCCUGGGUGCCCAGGGCUAACGCCCCUGGGUCGGUGCUGGAGAAGUAUUUAUGCAAUAGACGAAUGAAUGCAUGGAAUCAUGAAAUGUGGCUUUCCGCUGUCUCCUGGCCUGAUGUAUGCUAUACUCAGUAUUCCACUUGCGUAAACACCAAAGUCCAGGUAAUGCAGGGAAGUCAAAUUUGAAUAUCUAUGUUACUUAAAUCCUGAAACUCAGGAAUUUGGAGAAGCAGAUCAAGACCCGCAGGCAGGGUGCCUGGUGGUCUUCCUCAUCACCUGACCUGGCCGCAGGGUAGGGCCUGCAUGCCUGGCCCCUCAUUCCUUUCAGGUCCUAGGGGUCAUCUCCACUCAGCAUCACCCUCACUUUAGACACCGGGUGCCUGAGAUCCUCUCCCACCCUGGAUUAGUCUGAUCAGCUGAGAUCAGCUGGGAGCAGCGCUGUCAGCUCCACCUGGCUCCCAGCACCUCUGUUGACUGUUGAAUCCCAGUGAGAUCCGCAGCUGGGUGUCUGCUGGUCUCUCCUCCUGAGGUGGGAACUGGCCUCAGGGGAGUGUGUUUACGGUAACCGAAGCAGGAAAAGGACACCAACCCUUCUCUGCCGACCAGUGAUGGAAUGAGGAAGUCCACCAUCUCUUUGUAGAUGUUGAGAAAAACAAAACAAAACACAAAAACACUGAAGGAAUAAUCCAGAGCUCUUCCUGUUGGCAAAUCCUUUACUCAAGAUUAUUUUCACCGGCUUAGCUCCUAAUUCGUAACUUGAUCAGGACUUGUAAGAAUUAGGUGAGACACCGAGAAGCAGAGCCUGCCUCUGCCUUGCUCAGGAGCUCAGGGCUGUGACCUGUCGGGGUGUGCACAUGUGCACGGUGUGGCUCUUUCCUCGGGUUUGAACGCAAACUCCAAGAGCGCUCACUGUGACGUCCCGGGUGGAUGUGCGACACAGGUCACAGAUCCUAAAAGGCUGAAGCAUGGAGAGGAGACCAGCAUUUCUGGUUCACAGCACUCGUGGGGCUAUGUGAACGAGCUGUGGGACCCAGCGUUGUGACAGAAAUGGCCUCAGAGCCGAGUGCCCUUCCUUCUAACUGUGUUCAAAACACAGAUCAGGCUGAAGCAGGUCAAAAGUCAGCCACGACCCAGAAUUCACCAGGAUCUUUUGGGUGUUCAUUCUGUGCUCUUGCAAUGCUUGAAGGGGCCAUUUAUUCGACUCUCUCUAGAGUGACCCUGGGAUAUUCACCCUGUUGAGGGGGAAACAACCUUGGUCCCUUUUUGCCUUCAGAGGAGGUGAGCAGGCCAGCCCCGGUGGCCUAGUGGUUAAGUUUGGCGCAUUCCACUUUGGUGGCCCGGGUUCAGUUCUGAGUAUGGACCUACACCUCUUUGCUGGCCACCAUGCUGUGCUGGUGGCCCACAUACUAAAAAACGUAGGGGAAUAUUGGCACAGGUGUUAGCUUAGGGCAAAUCUUCCUCAGAAAAAAAAAAAAAGAGGAGUGAGAGUGAGAGCUCCUGCCUUGGUUGGAAUGGAGUAGAGGCAGAAAAGGCCAGUUCUCUUCAUUUUUCCCACACUCACACACUGCAUAGAAUUUGAAACACCAGACAACAGCUUUUGAGCUGCAGCCCCUUCUCAAUUGUUUGCAGUGCUGAGGAAUAAACAGAAGGACAUUCAAAAAGCGAGGUGAGUG